rnacentral:rRNA from 1 species
AGUAGUUGACUCCGUCGGCUACAGGAACGAACGCGUGGUGGACGUGUUUAUACAUGCAAGUCGAGCGAGGACGGUAGCAAUACCGAGCCGAGCGGCGAACGGGUGAGUAACGCGUAAGCAAUCUGCCCCACAAUCGGGAACAACCGUGCCAACGCGCGGCUAAUGCCGGAUAUUGUAGUCUACUGCAUAGUAGGCCAACGAAAGAUUUAUUGUUGUGGGAUGAGCUUGCGUCCGAUUAGCUAGUUGGCGGGGUAAUAGCCCACCAAGGCGACGAUCGGUAGCCGGCCUGAGAGGGUGAUCGGCCACAUUGGGACUGAGAUACGGCCCAGACUCCUACGGGAGGCAGCAGUAGGGAAUAUUGCGCAAUGGGGGGAACCCUGACGCAGCCAACGCCACGUGUGGGAAGAAGCAUUUCGGUGUGUAAACCACUGUCGGAAAGGAAUAACGGAAGACUUCGGUCUUUAUGAAUGUACUUUUAGAGGAAGCACCGGCAAACUUCGUGCCAGCCGCCGC